UACGGAGGGUGCAAACGUUGCUCGGAAUCAUUGGGCGUAAAGCGCACGUAGGCGGUUCGUUAUGUCGGAUGUGAAAGCCCUUGGCUUAACCGAGGAAGUGCAUCCGAAACUGGCGAGCUAGAGUACUAAAGAGGAUCGCGGAAUUCCCGGUGUAGAGGUGAAAUUCGUAGAUAUCGGGAGGAACACCGGUGGCGAAGGCGGCGAUCUGGGUAGAUACUGACGCUGAGGUGCGAAAGCGUGGGGAGCGAACAGG
rnacentral:rRNA from 1 species